GACGAACGCUGGCGGCGUGCUUAACACAUGCAAGUCGAACGGAAAGGCCCUGGCUUUGUGGGGUGCGCGAGUGGCGAACGGGUGAGUAACACGUGAGUAACCUGCCCUUGACUUUGGGAUAACUUCAGGAAACUGGGGCUAAUACCGGAUAGGAGCUCUUGCCGCAUGGUGGGGGUUGGAAAGGUUCGGUGGUUGGGGAUGGACUCGCGGCUUAUCAGCUUGUUGGUGGGGUAGUGGCUUACCAAGGCUUUGACGGGUAGCCGGCCUGAGAGGGUGACCGGACACAUUGGGACUGAGAUACGGCCCAGACUCCUACGGGAGGCAGCAGUGGGGAAUAUUGCACAAUGGGCGGAAGCCUGAUGCAGCAACGCCGCGUGCGGGAUGACGGCCUUCGGGUUGUAAACCGCUUUUGCCUGUGACGAAGCGUGAGUGACGGUAAUGGGUAAAGAAGCACCGGCUAACUACGUG
rnacentral:rRNA from 1 species